GAUUUCAAUUGAAAAAGUCAUCAACAACAAAGUUGUAUAACUAAUCAAUAUCUAUAACUUUUAUUUUGGUCAUUUCUUCAUCCGACAAAGUGAUAAAAACAUUAUUCACAAAAUUUACAUAUCUCUUAUAUGGUUUAUAAAACUAUAAGAGAGAUAUGUAAAUUUUGUGAACAAUAUUAAAAUCACUUUAUCGGAUGAACAAAUGACCAAAAUAAAAAUUGUAGAUCUAGAUGAAUUAUACUACUUUGUUGUUGAUGACUUUUUCAGUUGAAGUC
rnacentral:pre_miRNA from 4 species